rnacentral:rRNA from 1 species
GCAUAUCAAUAAGCGGAGGAAAAGAAAAUAACAAUGAUUCCCUUAGUAACGGCGAGUGAAGGGGGAUAAGCUCAAAUUUUAAAUCUACCAGGUUAACCUGGUCGAGUUGUAAUUUGAAGAAGCGUUUUCCGCGUCCGGGUCGGCCCAAAUCCUUUGGGAUAAGGUAUCAUGGAGGGUGAGAAUCCCGUUCGGCUGACCUUAGGAUGCUUUACGAUACGCUCUCAAAGAGUCGAGUUGUUUGGGAUUGCAGCUCAAAAUGGGAGGUAAAUUUCUCCUAAGGCUAAAUACCGGCGAGAGACCGAUAGCGAACAAGUACCGUGAGGGAAAGAUGAAAAGAACUUUGAAAAGAGAGUUAAAUAGUACGUGAAAUUGUUGAAAGGGAAACGAUUGAAGUCAGUCGUACCGGCGGGAAAUCAGCUUCUCGAGUGGGGGUUCGCGGGUGCGUGGAGCUUCGGCCUUCGUCGCUUGUGACACCUUUUGCUUCUGGAGCGUACUUUUCCGUGUGGUAGGUCAACAUCGGUUUCGAUUGCCAUAAAAUGACCGGAGGAAUGUGGCUUCGAUCUUGUAUUGGAGUGUUAUAGCCUCUGGUAGAUGUGGUGGUUGGGAUCGAGGAUUGCAACGAAUACCCUUUGGGCUAUCCGCCUGACCUCUGAAAGUCGCUUGGGUACCGAAAGCUUGCUUACGGUCAUUCAAGUUGGCGGUCAAAAGGUUAGAACGUGAUUAAAUUCGUUAAGGAUGUUGACGUA